rnacentral:rRNA from 1 species
GCCUUACACAUGCAAGUCGAACGGCAGCACGGGUGCUUGCACCUGGUGGCGAGUGGCGAACGGGUGAGUAAUACAUCGGAACAUGUCCUGUAGUGGGGGAUAGCCCGGCGAAAGCCGGAUUAAUACCGCAUACGAUCUACGGAUGAAAGCGGGGGACCUUCGGGCCUCGCGCUAUAGGGUUGGCCGAUGGCUGAUUAGCUAGUUGGUGGGGUAAAGGCCUACCAAGGCGACGAUCAGUAGCUGGUCUGAGAGGACGACCAGCCACACUGGGACUGAGACACGGCCCAGACUCCUACGGGAGGCAGCAGUGGGGAAUUUUGGACAAUGGGCGAAAGCCUGAUCCAGCAAUGCCGCGUGUGUGAAGAAGGCCUUCGGGUUGUAAAGCACUUUUGUCCGGAAAGAAAUCCUUGGCUCUAAUACAGUCGGGGGAUGACGGUACCGGAAGAAUAAGCACCGGCUAACUACGUGCCAGCAGCCGCGGUAAUACGUAGGGUGCGAGCGUUAAUCGGAAUUACUGGGCGUAAAGCGUGCGCAGGCGGUUUGCUAAGACCGAUGUGAAAUCCCCGGGCUCAACCUGGGAACUGCAUUGGUGACUGGCAGGCUAGAGUAUGGCAGAGGGGGGUAGAAUUCCACGUGUAGCAGUGAAAUGCGUAGAGAUGUGGAGGAAUACCGAUGGCGAAGGCAGCCCCCUGGGCCAAUACUGACGCUCAUGCACGAAAGCGUGGGGAGCA